UUUCGACUAGGUCGAGAUCUGGUCGUGUUUGGUUCAUUCUAGUCUCGGAGCUCAACCGAGAAGGUUCAGGUUGAACCACUGGUGAAUGCCAGAAGGUCUCUCCAACUGGGGAGACCUUAAACUGAACCUCAACAGUUUUGUGUCAGAUAUAAAUGGGGAAGCCGAGAUGAAGAAAAAAUCUCUAUGGCAGGCCUAGGAACAAGCUUCCUUUCUUGGCUAAAAGGAAAAUCUUGGGGCAGUUCUGGAACUCCAUAAGCAAAGCAGCACCGUUUUAAAGAGCCACAUCGCGAAGUCCCAGUCAGACAGAUCCUGGCCGUGGUCUUCGCCUUGAGAUGCCGCCUGCAGGAGCUGCUGGAGGAGUUUCUGACCUGUGCUAUUAGGUGAUUUCGUGAAAGCUCCCAUACUCUCGAACGCCGAGGUCCUGGAAGUUGCUGGAUAGGCCGUCCUUCCAGCCCGAGAAGGCUUCUUUCCCCUCGUAUUUCCACUUAGAUAUCUGUAUGUCAUACUGAUACCAGUUUAGACCAACACUGCCUAUCACAUCAAGCUUAUUUCAAUAAUAGCAUUAAAGGGUCAGAAUGCUGACGGACAGAUGCGCUCCAGUGAAGACGACGAUGAUGAUGAGGAAUAUACGUCCCUAUCGGGUCGGUUGUGGGUCAUUUAAAGCAGGUGCAAGUCAGAGAACAAAGUCUUGUUUUUUGGCUUGCACCUGUUCUAGAUUGUACCCACACCUUGACGGCAUCCGGCGUAUAUAUUCCUCAUCAUCAUCGUCGUCCUCGCUGGUGUGCAUCGGCUCGUCGGCAUUUUGUCCUCUAAAAGAUUCUGGCAAGGAUUGUUUGGCCCAGGCUCAUCUAUCAGCUCCAGGCAAUGCUCCAGAAGCAGCGACCACUGGAGUUCCAGUUGUCGCUCCAUUUGGGGCACUGCGAAGCUCGUUCUGCUACCGAAGGACCAGGAACGCUAUAAUAAGCUGCAAGGAUCCUUAAUGUUACUAAAUCCUAAAUGUCCUAGUGUUACUAAAUGACCCUGAACGCAGCAUCCAAGCCGGAAUAUUGUCUAAUCUGGCAUCUAGAGUGACUCUACUCAACACUUAAUGCAAUUACGAGGGGUUGGUGGAAUUCAAGCGCUGGAAAGACUAAUCGGACUCCUUCAGGCUAAACUCCAGACACUUUGCGAUCGUGCGGACUGGAGCCAGUUGGAAGCAUCUAAUAGCUCAGCGGUUAGGAGCUCCUCCAGCGGCUUCUGCAGGGCGCAUCUCAAUGCGUUGGCCAACGGUCGGGAUCUGUAGAAGUAGAGGCAGCCUAUGAUAGAACUAAUCCAAGUGGGUCCCCAGAAUUCCGCUUCAUUUCGUACCACCAUCAUAUCAUGGAGGACUUUCAUAUACUUAUACCGCUGGAGAUUGCAUCGAAAGAUCUGGAUUCUAUUUUUUACGCUGCAACAGGAUUUGGAUAAAAAUCUACAGUACUUAAUAUUUCAAGACCCUACUUUCUACGGCAAAAUAAAAAUAAUUUACUGUGAUUUAAAGUUAUUUUAACUCAUAAUUAUUAUUGUCAAUGUGGAAGGAAGAAACAGAUAGAAUCCAGCAUCCCUCUUUAAUAUUUCUUAGUUUAUUUUAGAAAAGCAUCUCUGCUGCGGAAAAAAAUCGAUGGUGAAUCGUUUUUCUCUA